GAUGAACGCUGGCGGCGUGCUUAACACAUGCAAGUCGAACGGUGAACGAGGGAGCUUGCUCCCUCCGGAUCAGUGGCGAACGGGUGAGUAACACGUGAGCAAUCUACCCUGGACUCUGGGAUAAGCGUUGGAAACGACGUCUAAUACCGGAUACGAGGCGUGGGGGCAUCCCCAACGCCUGGAAAGAACUUCGGUCCAGGAUGAGCUCGCGGCCUAUCAGCUUGUUGGUGAGGUAACGGCUCACCAAGGCGACGACGGGUAGCCGGCCUGGGAGGGUGACCGGCCACGCUGGGACUGAGACACGGCCCAGACUCCUACGGGAGGCAGCAGUGGGGAAUAUUGCACAAUGGGCGCAAGCCUGAUGCAGCAACGCCGCGUGAGGGACGACGGCCUUCGGGUUGUAAACCUCUUUUAGCAGGGAAGAAGCGAAAGUGACGGUACCUGCAGAAAAAGCACCGGCUAACUACGUGCCAGCCGCCGCAGUAAAAC
rnacentral:rRNA from 1 species